AACCAGCACCUCAAGUGGUCAGGAUGAUUAUUGGGCCUAAAGCAUCCGUAGCCGGCUCUGUAAGUUUUCGGUUAAAUCUGUACGCUUAACGUACAGGCUGCCGGGAAUACUGCAGAGCUAGGUAGUGGGAGAGGUAGACGGUACUCGGUAGGAAGGGGUAAAAUCCUUUGAUCUAUUGAUGACCACCUGUGGCGAAGGCGGUCUACCAGAACACGUACGACGGUGAGGGAUGAAAGCUGGGGGAGCAAACCGGAUUAGAUACCCGGGUAGUCCCAGCUGUAAACUAUGCAAACUCAGUGAUGCAUUGGCUUGUGGCCAAUGCAGUGCUGCAGGGAAGCCGUUAAGUUUGCCGCCUGGGAAGUACGUACGCAAGUAUGAAACUUAAAGGAAUUGGCGGGGGAGCACCACAAGGGGUGAAGCCUGCGGUUCAAUUGGAGUCAACGCCAGAAAUCUUACCCGGAGAGACAGCAGAAUGAAGGUCAAGCUGAAGACUUUACCAGACAAGCUGAGAGGUGGUGCAUGGCCGUCGCCAGCUCGUGCCGUGAGAUGUCCUGUUAAGUCAGGUAACGAGCGAGAUCCCUGCCUCUAGUUGCCACCAUUACUCUCAGGAGUAGUGGGGCGAAUUAGCGGGACCGCCGCAGUUAAUGCGGAGGAAGGAAGGGGCCACGGCAGGUCAGUAUGCCCCGAAACUCUGGGGCCGCACGCGGGCUGCAAUGGUAACGACAAUGGGUUUCGAAUUCGAAAGGAUGAGGUAAUCCUCAAACGUUACCACAGUUAUGACUGAGGGCUGCAACUCGCCCUCACGAAUAUGGAAUCCCUAGUAACUGCGUGUCACUAUCGCGCGGUGAAUACGUCCCUGCUCCU
rnacentral:rRNA from 1 species